rnacentral:rRNA from 1 species
GGCUGGGUGGGCGUGUCGGAGUGGGUGCUGGUGGGCUGGGUGGGCGGAGGAGGAGGUUGAAGGAGGAGGGGCGGCCGGCGUGGGGGUGGUGUAGGGUGACCGGUGGAUCUUCGCUACGGGGCGGCCGGCGGGGCGCGGCGAUGCCUAGGUGGUUGUGACCUAGCCGGCGCCGCGGGCGAGCGGAGGGGCGGCUGGCCGGAGGAGAGAGGGAGGCCGGCUACGGCGGAGGAGAGUAGGUGGUUCGGGGGCCCGUCUCGGGGUGGGGCGGUGCCUAGCGGCCUAGGGCGGGCGGUACGCUGGUAGUGCGCGACGGGGCGCGAACUUGGGUCGCCGAAGGGGGUGGUUGGAAGGGGGCCGCUCCCGCCCCACAACGUGGCUGCACCGCCGGCGGUUCCGAAGGGGAAGAGACCUAGACCGCCGGUACCGCAACCCCUACACACCCUACUCCAAACCGUCGCGAGGACACAACUGCUACUCCCACCACUCACGAUGACACGUCGAGUGAUGCGGGUGAGUACCUUCAUCGCCCGCUCAACGUAGGAGUAGGAUCACACCCGAGUAUCUACCGGCGGCGAAGUGGACGGGGGUACGGCUACUAGAGACUCUACCCGGCGGGGAAGGGGAACGACAGAGAAAGAAACUCUCCCCUAGAUCUCGCGCCGUUCGGACGGCUUAGCACAGCAGAGGUCUCUGUGGUACACUUAGCGUGCUCGUGUGUGCAUGUACAUUUUCAAAAGAACAGAUGUUCCUUUAGCCGUCAUGGGCCUAAAGUGCACACUGACGUCAGGUGUCAUACCCGUGGACGUCGAGAGAGAGGGAGGGCACCUUCAUGUAGUGCUCGUUUUCCAGGACCUCGUACGCCAAGACAAGACACAGUCCCUCGGUGCGGAGGUCGGCACGAUGAGUGACCCUAAAAACGGACUCUCCUGUUGCUAUCGGCGUGCUGUUCGAUACUAACACAUCCAGACGACGGAGGCCGGUUCCACAACACCGGUGUGCCACUCCGCGCGGGCGUGGACCUCAGGUGGGGGUACGUACGUCAAACCACGAGGGGAUACACACCAAUUAGCCUCGUGGUCAAGGUGGCGGCAUCGAUAACAACGUCAAAACAACGGUAAAAAACGUCGAGGACAUUAAACCUGUCGCUCGGAGGGAGGCACGCCAAACGGCCGCGUAGAUACGUCAUGCCGCACACACAGACGUCAUGACAAUCUUGGACUGAUAAGCGAAACACCUUUUCCUACCUCGUCAGGUGAACCGACAUCACCUAUUUUUACUUU